rnacentral:rRNA from 1 species
GACGAACGCUGGCGGCGUGCUUAACACAUGCAAGUCGAGCGAGAAACCUUCGGGUUUCUAGCGGCGGACGGGUGAGUAACACGUGGGUAACCUGCCUCAAAGAGGGGGAUAGCCUUCCGAAAGGAAGAUUAAUACCGCAUAAUAUUACAGUUUCGCAUGAAGCAGUAAUUAAAGGAGUAAUCCGCUUUGAGAUGGACCCGCGGCGCAUUAGCUAGUUGGAGAGGUAACGGCUCACCAAGGCAACGAUGCGUAGCCGACCUGAGAGGGUGAUCGGGCACAUUGGAACUGGGACACGAUCCAGACUCCUACGGGAGGCGGCAGUGGGGAAUAUUGCACAAUGGGCGAAAGCCUGAUGCAGCAACGCCGCGUGAGUGAUGAAGGUCUUCGGAUUGUAAAGCUCUGUCUUUUGGGACGAUAAUGACGGUACCAAAGGAGGAAGCCACGGCUAGCUACGUGCCAGCAGCCGCGGUAA